CCUACGGGUGGCUGCAGUGAGGAAUAUUGGUCAAUGGGCGCGAUCCUGAACCAGCCAAGCAGCGUGAAGGAUGACUGCCCUACGGGUUGUAAACUUCUUUUAUAGAGGAAUAAAGUGAGGCACGUGUGCCUUUUUGUAUGUACUUUAUGAAUAAGGAUCGGCUAACUCCGUGCCAGCAGCCGCGGUAAUACGGAGGAUCCGAGCGUUAUCCGGAUUUAUUGGGUUUAAAGGGUGCGUAGGCGGUCCUUUAAGCCGGCGGUAAAAUUGCGGGGCUCAACCCCGGCCUGCCGUCGAAACUGGGAGCCUUGAGUGGGCGAGAAGUAUGCGGAAUGCGUGGUGUAGCGGUGAAAUGCAUAGAUAUCGCGCAGAACCCCGAUUGCGAAGGCAGCAUACCGGCGCCCUACUGACGCUGAGGCACGAAAGUGUGGGGAUCGAACAGGAUUAGAUACCCUGGUAGUC
rnacentral:rRNA from 1 species